rnacentral:hammerhead_ribozyme from 1 species
AUCCAAAUGAAGAGUCUUAAAUAUAAUGAAACGCAUGUCCUGGAU